AUAAUUGCCUAUAUACCCCUUAAAACUUAAAACAUAUCUAAUUUAUCUCUAUUUUUUUUUAUUCCCAAUAUACCCCACAUAUGUUCCUCCGUUAUUCAAAAAUAUCGCUAUAGUUAUCACCCGUUAAGUUAUCUCGAAUUCGAUGUGAGUUAUAUGUCUACCAGAGUUAAAAAAGAUUAAAAUACCUUUUUUACCCUUAACUUAAGGGCGAAUAAGAAAAGUUUUGAUGGUAGAUGGUUAUAUUUGAAAAGUCGGAGUCGUUUUGGCAUCUGAGGCUUGUCGAAUAACCUGUAGUGUCCCUGGUGUUUGGUUGCCCAUGAGAUUUCAGCAUCUGAGGCUUGUCGACACAUCUGGAGAGUGUCGGGGUAAGUCGGAGUCGUUUUGGUGCGAAAUGGACAGAAAACGGACUCAACGCGAGGCGAUAGUGGAGUUCUGACACUGAAAUUCAUAAAGUGCAGGAUUUCAGUGUUGAGUACCGGUAC
rnacentral:lncRNA from 1 species